UACAGAGACUGCGGGCGUAUUCGGAUUCACUGGGCGUAAAGGGUGCGCAGGCGGUUGGGUGUGUCAGAUGUGAAAUCCCGAGGCUUAACCUCGGAACUGCGUCUGAAACUACUCGACUAGAGUACUGGAGAGGGAAACGGAAUUCACGGUGUAGCAGUGAAAUGCGUAGAUAUCGUGAGGAACACCAGAGGCGAAGGCGGUUUCCUGGACAGUUACUGACGCUCAGGCACGAAAGCAUGGGGAGCAAAAGGG
rnacentral:rRNA from 1 species